rnacentral:rRNA from 1 species
GAUGAACGCUGGCGGCGUGCCUAAUACAUGCAAGUCGAACGGAGACGUUAUAGCAAUAUGAUGUCUUAGUGGCGAACGGGUGAGUAACGCGUUGGUGACCUGCCCCGAAGAGGGGGAUAACAGCUCGAAAGAGCUGCUAAUACCCCAUGUGGUCGUAGAGGUUAGAGGCUUUAUGACUAAAGGAGCAACCCGCUUCGGGAGGGGCCUGCGUCCCAUCAGCUAGUUGGUAGGGUAACGGCCUACCAAGGCGACGACGGGUAGGGGACCUUAGAGGGUGACCCCCCACACUGGCACUGAAACACGGGCCAGACACCUACGGGUGGCAGCAGUAGGGAAUAUUGCACAAUGGGCGAAAGCCCGAUGCAGCAACGCCGCGUGCGCGAUGAAGGCCUUCGGGUCGUAAAGCGCUUUUUGGGGAGAUGAGGAAGGACAGUAUCCCCAGAAUAAGGUUCGGCUAACUACGUGCCAGCCGCCGCAGUAAUAC